GUGGGCACUCUAAGGAGACUGCCGGUGACAAACCGGAGGAAGGUGGGGAUGACGUCAAGUCAUCAUGGCCCUUACGGCCUGGGCUACACACGUGCUACAAUGGUCGGUACAAAGGGUUGCCAAGCCGCGAGGUGGAGCUAAUCCCAUAAAACCGAUCGUAGUCCGGAUCGCAGUCUGCAACUCGACUGCGUGAAGUCGGAAUCGCUAGUAAUCGUGAAUCAGAAUGUCACGGUGAAUACGUUCCCGGGCCU
rnacentral:rRNA from 1 species